rnacentral:lncRNA from 1 species
UUUCUUGAUCUCCGAUCCUCACCCCUAACUCGUUUUGACCUCUAUUUGCACUGAACUUGCACUCCAUAUAUUCUGUCUUUGAUCGGCUUAUGCGAAGACCUUUAGAUUCCAACACUUCUCUCCAAAGGUUAAGCUUUGCAUUUACCCCUUCCUGAGUUUCAUCUAUCUAUCAACACUAUAUCGUCUGCGAAAAGCAUACACCAAGGAAUAUCAUCUUGAAUAUGUCCUGUUAACUCAUCCAUUACCAACGCAAAAAGGUAAGGACUUAAGGAUGAGCCUUGAUGUAAUCCUACAGUUAUGGGAAAGCUUUCGGUUUGUCCUUCAUGAGUUCUUACGGCAGUCUUUGCUCCUUCAUACAUAUCCUUUAUAGCUUGGAUAUAUGCUACUCGUACUCCUUUCUUCUCUAAAAUCCUCCAAAGAAUGUCUCUUGGGACCCUAUCAUACGCUUUUUCCAAAUCUAUAAAGACCAUGUGUAAAUCAUUUUUCCAAUUUCUAUAUCUUUCCAUCAAUCUUCGUAAGAGAUAGAUUGCCUCCAUGGUUGAGCCCUGGCAUGAACCCGAAUUGGUUGUCCGAAACCCGUGUCUCUUGCCUCAAUCUAUGCUCAAUGACUCUCUCCCAGAGCUUCAUUGUAUGACUCAUUAGCUUAAUACCCCUAUAGUUCAUGCAAUUUUGUACGUCGUCCUUAUUCUUGUAGAUAGGCACCAAAGUGCUCGUUCGCCACUCAUUUGGCAUCUUCUUCGUUUUCAAAAUCCUAUUGAAAAGGUCAGUGAGCCAUGUUAUACCUGUCUCUCCCAAAAGUUUCCACACUUCGAUUGGUAUAUCGUCUGGGCCUAUUGCUUUUUUAUGCUUCAUCUUCUUCAAAGCUACAACCACUUCUUCCUUCCGGAUUCGACGAUAAAAAGAGUAGUUUCAACACUCUUCUGAGUUACUCAACUCCCCUAAAGAAGCACUCAUUUCAUGUCCUUCAUUGAAAAGAUUAUGAAAAUAACCUCUCCAUCUGUCUUUAACCGCGUUCUCUGUAGCAAGAACCUUUCUAUCCUCAUCCUUGAUGCACCUCACUUGGUUUAGGUCCCUUGUCUUCUUUUCCCUUGCUCUAGAUAGUUUAUAGAUAUCCAACUCUCAUUCUUUGGUAUCUAGUCGUUUAUACAUAUCGUCGUAAGCCGCUAACUUAGCUUCUCUGACAGCUUUCUUCGCCUCUUGCUUCGCUUUUCUAUACCUUUCACCAUUUUCAUCGGUCCUCUCCUUGUAUAAGGCUUUACAACAUUCCUUCUUAGCCUUCACCUUUGUUUGUACCUCCUCAUUCCACCACCAAGAUUCCUUUUGGUGUGGGGCAAAGCCCUUGGACUCUCCUAAUACCUCUUUUGCUACUUUUCGGAUACAACUAGCCAUGGAAUCCCACAUUUGGCUAGCUUCCCCCUCUCUAUCCCACACACAUUGGGUGAUUACCUUCUCUUUGAAAAUGGCUUGUUUUUCUUCUUUUAGAUUCCACCAUCUAGUCCUUGGGCACUUCCAAGUCUUGUUCUUUUGUCUUACUCUUUUGAUAUGUACAUCCAUCACCAACAAGCGAUGUUGAUUAGCCACGCUCUCUCCUGGUAUAACUUUGCAAUCCUUACAAGUUAUACGAUCCACUUUCCUCAUUAGAAGAAAAUCUAUUUGUGUUUUUGACGACCCACUCUUGUAGGUGAUCACAUGUUCUUCUCUCUUCUUAAAGAAGGUGUUGGCUAAGAAGAUAUCAUAUGCCAUUGCAAAAUCCAAGAUAGCUUCCCCAUCCUCGUUUCUCUCCCCAAAACCAUGGCCACCAUGAAAACCUCCAUAGUUGCCUGUCUCCCUGCCCACGUGUCCAUUUAAAUCUCCUCCUAUAAAUAACUUCACCGUCUGAGCAAUUCCUUGCACCAAGUCUCCAAGAUCUUUCCUGGAGCCGCAGAUGUUCUAUCAAAAAAAUGAGUAAUCGAAUUAGUUGAUUAAAUUUACAGAAGAAGAGAGAGAAGAGGGGAAUGGAGGAGAACAGCAGAAGGAGAUGAAAUCAGAUUCAGAGUUUGAGAGUCAAUUGCUGAAUUUAGAUGAACUGACCUUUUCGAUCACAUACAGUCAAACUGGAAUGCACAGGGAGAAGCAGAAGAAGAAAAAGAAGAUGGAGAGGGGGUGGUCAAUAGCUUAUCGAGGUCGGAGUUGACAAAAAUCAACAAAGCCAUGCGCGAUUUCGUCGUUGUGAGCUGUGAGAGAGAAUACGAUGGUCACAUGACUCAAUGUGACAUCCAGAAAACUUAGUACUACAACACUAAACUUAAAAGGAAAAGUACAGAAGAAUCGAAACCAUUAUAAUUCCUUACAUGAUACUGAAUGUCUGUUAGUUAGAAGAGCCCAAGAAGCAAUUGUUCCAUCUGCUAGCAAUCGGCAUAUCCCAGAUCCAUCUGCCAAAGAUAUACACCAAAUUAGAUGGAAACACAAAAGAGUAAAUUGGUGGGGCUAGCCAGCCUUCAUUCUAGAGGCGGUUUAGCGGCUCACUACUAAUUAACAUUGCCAACAUUCAUUUCUUUUUGUAUUUCAUUUAGUUAAACUUCCGACAUGGGAUUUUAACAUUCUCCAGCCCCAAUAGCAUCAAUCAACACAAUACCACAAACCCAAAACUGUGCAUAAAAGAACAGAAAUCAAUGACUGAUUACAAAUUAACAUGAGGGCAGUAAAAGCUAAUAAUGCAGGUUGAUUUCCACAUUGUUAGCAUGAUAAAUAUUGUCAUUGCACACUUGUGCACCAGUUAAAGCAGGAUAUUAUGUCUUUCUUGUAUCAUCCACUCUCUUGCUAGUCCUAGUUUUUUUGCGCAUUGCAGUUAUAAAUUAACAUUGCCAAGCAAUAAAUUGAUAAAAAGGAAGGGGGAAGAUACAACCAAGCCACCUAUAGACCAACCAAGCAAAACCUGAUGCAAACAAAUAUACAAAUAAGCAAACUUCAAAAGAUACAAUAGCAAAAAACCAAACACAUAUAACCAGAAUCUAAGAACAUUUUAAUGACAAAAAAGAAAACUGACCUUUUGCGUGGAGGCAAUGAGAAAAUAUAGAGAAGCAGACCAACUAUUUGAAAAGGUAAAAACAAAAGACUGAAAUCAAACAAUGAUAUAUCGAUCACCAAAAUAAAUGUACAAUAUCUUUCAAAUUUGAUGAUAAAUUUACAUGCAAUAAGUCGCAUUAUCACUCGUACAACUAACAUACUUCCUAUAUUAGACCACACAACACAUGCACCAUAAUCACUUCAUUGGUGCUCUGCCUCAUUUGCAAAUGUAGUUUUAUCUCCACUGAGUUUCUACAUGCAUGGGAACAUAUGUUUUUCUUGUUAAUUUGAAUAGAUUAUAAACUGUUUAACUAAUUUCUGGGAUUCAUAUCUGUAAUAUCAAACUAUAUCAGUUGGAUUUUAAUGGUAAGUAAAACAGUUGUAUAAUGAACAAACAAUGAAAGAAGGAAGCCAAAUAAUGACAAUGAAAAGAAGAGAAUUCCAACACAUUGAGAAUAUUAGUUUUAGAUUUUGAGAACAGAUUUAUUCCAUUACCUUUUACCUUUCCUCUCUUUUAGCAACAGACAAUAGUCAUUAAAUUUCUUCUCAUGGCGUGUGUGCUGUGAGCUUGGCGAAGCCAUGUGACCUUAAUUUCUUUUCUUUUUUUUGGGAAAAAAUUAUACAAAUGGUACGGUUUCAACUGUACAUGUUUAACCUCAGUGUUUUUCAAUUUCAGUUUUACCUUUACCAUCCAUUUAUUUUCCUAUCCAAAAUGUUUAGAAAAAUAAAUCUAUAGCUGCUAACAGUCUAUAUGCUUCAUGCUGUCAGACUCUGCAAUCUAAAAAUUCAUGUAAAUGCAGAGGUUUGGCUGAAGGAGAGGCAUCGAAGACAUCCAGAAAUCCUUCCAUGGCAAACUUAGUUGUACACCCAUGGCGUGUGUGUUGUAUGCUAGAUGCCCCCUCUCUUUUAACAACACACAAUAGCUUAUGCAAAUGCAAAGAGACUUCAACAUGUUUCAUUUAAAAUAAGUUUACAUUUUGUAGCAAAUGCAUAUGGCGAAAUAGUCUAUAAGUAAUCAUACUGGCAACCAAACAGAACAGUUCAAAAACUUCAAUGGAAAUAUAAAUUGCAGAAAAAAAAAACUUGAAUUUCCAAACCCACAAAAUAAAAAAUUCAACCAGGUUAAAUGUGUAAGAAGAAAUACCAAGAACUGAGAGCUGCAGACAAUCAAAAUGCUCAUGAUCUUGGUCAAGCUGAUGAAAUCCAAAUAUGUACUUUCAUGUCCUCCUCCUUGGUCAAUUCCUUGAGAAGCUUCGAUAUCGCCAACAAUGUCUCCUCUUCGUGGCCGUGGCCAUGGUCGUGCCAACUGCCAUGGAUCUUUCUCCUUCUAACCAGACACCACUUCAACCCUUUCUCCUUUCAAACUUACCUUUCAUCAUCUGCAUUAACAGAAACAAUAACUUUUGUCAGUGCAUUCAAACCAAACCCAUAAAUCAACUGCAAAUCACAAAUUUACCCAAAAAAAUCCCGCAAAGACCCAAACUCCCCGAAAAUUACCAUAUUAGCACUCCCUCCACCCCAAAAUCAGAAAAUUAGAAAACAGAAUAUGAAACAUUGUACGUAGAAAGCAAGGAAUCGAUAAUUUAGGAGGUUUCCCAGGACAAGAAUGAGCUUUUAAAUAUCAUAUUCCCAUAUGGAUGCACAAAUACAGAGAGACUACAGAGACCAUUUGAUGAAAAAAAAUAGAGACGCUCAGAGACUCAACAGACACUAUUCAUAGAUCCAUGACUUAGAAUUUCUCAGAUCCGGUUGAAAUUAAUAAAAAAAAAAUUAGGGAUGUGAAUUUAUACCUCUGAUAGUCUGAGCUCCGUUCCCCUUAUUCCUUUGCCGGCUUGGGGCAAACUUGAGGAGAUCGGUGAUUAGGGGAUACGAAUUCAAAAUAAAAUUUUCUAGUAGUAAUCGUCGCUGCUGCAGUAGUCAUCGUCCUCGGAUUCCAUCGUUGUCUGACCACAAAAACCUAACGGCGGCUGGAGAACCACAGAACAACCAAGAGUAAAAAAGGGAGUGCGGGAGAGAGAAGCAGCCAAAAUACAGAGAAGAUGGCAAGAGAAAGGAGAAAUGGAAAGCAGACAAACAAAAAGUAACAUGGGUGCUAGCCAAUUUCCCAAACCCCACUUCUGCUAAAGCUACAUGCUAUUGAUUAUGAUUAAAAACUAAAUUAAUCAUACCAUUAAUCGCUAAUAAAUAAUGGGUUAUGUUUGUUUUCAUGAAUUCAGGCUCAAAAUACGAACUAUAAAUCCAAAAUUUGAAAUUUAAUUGCUUUAUCUCCUUACCCGAUAGAGCCAGACGAUUACUGAUCACUAAGCAUCCAAUUCUUGAAAACUACCGAAAUCAAAACAACAACUUCCACUCAAUUUCUGAGCAACAGAAAGAUCAAGCCAAAUCAAAACCAACAACUUUCAACUAAAUUGCACAAAAGAGUCAAAAUUUAAUUGCUAUACAGAACUAUCGGUUCAAUUGAAAACAAUUAGAAUUCGAGAACCUACCUCCUCCAUUCUCUGAGAGCGAAGCCCUCCUCAGGCAGCAUCUCCGAUGGAGCCGCCAAAAUCGGAUCGUCGGACCCGCCAAACCCUCCAUCAAAGCCCCGGCCGUUCGAUUCAGCGUAGAUCAACGGAGGAGAGAAGGCCUGCGAUGCCGGCUGAGUGACGAAAGCGUUGUCUACAGCAGAGCUGUGGAAGAUUGGGGAAUCGGUGGCGGAGUCCUUGAGCGACUCAGAGUCGACAAAGGAGUCGAAUAGCUGGGAGGAGAGUUGGGGGUCGUAGCCCAGGUAACCGUUGUGCAGGUGUGUUGAGGGUUCUUGAGUUAAUUGAAAAAUUAAACUUGCAACUGCUUUACAAACCUGAGAGUCAGUAACUGGUAAAACAUGAGCUUGUACUGGCGAAAGCCAUAAUGGAAAAUCCCCGGCAUAAUGCUCUCUAAGGACCCCAAAAAAUCGCUUCAAUGACCCAAGAACAGCUCUAUGAAUCAUGAUAGGCCGCUUCUUUUCAGAGUUUGAGUCAGCAUAUGUUAAGUCAAAACGCUGUGGUCGGUUAAAAUCAACCUGUACAAUUUGGGAAAUACAAAAGAUCAAACAAUUUAAAAUAACAAUAAUAAGUGGCUUUAGUCUAUCAAACAAAUCCAUGUAAUUCGCUCAAUUCAAAAAAGAUGCUCAAAUCUCCAAUGAACAUUUUACAAAGUGACACAGAGAUAGACGGAGAGACUACCAAUUAAAAAACAAAGCACACAUUAGAAUUAUCCCGUCAUGAGUUUAGGAUUAACCUGUAUAGUUGAGCACUGCCACUUCCUUCCAAGGGCAUCCUCCACUUAAGAUCAAUCCUUGGACCAUAAAAGGCACCACCACCUUCAUCAAUUGGAUAGCUCCAACCUUUAUCAUCCAAAGCAUCUCUAAGGGCAGAUGUUGCUUUCACGGUUUCACCCAUAUAUCAUCAUCUCCAACAGCUUUCUCUCGCCUCGUAGAGAGAUUGACCUCAUAUUUGCUGAAGCCGAAUUGCAACAAAAGUUCUUCGGUAAGAUCUAGGACACCCCUAAUUUCAUCUUUGAUCUGAUCUUCUGGACAAAAUAUAUGGGCAUCAUCCUGCAACAGGUCCCGAGAUUAUAAACUAACAGUUUGCAAAUACUAACACCAUACCUGAGUAAAACCUCUUACAUGAAAAAGACCAUGCAAGCUUCCAGAUAAUUCGUAUCUAUAUACGGCUCCCAACUCAGCAACUCGAAUAGGAAAUUCAUGAUAUGAGUGAGGCUUCCUUUUGUAAACCAAGAUAUGAUAGGGGCAGUUCAUCGGUCGAAGCUGAUAAAGUUCAUCCUCAACAUUCAUUUGAUCAUACAUAUUCUCCUUGUAGUAAUCCAGAUGACCACUUAUCUGCCAAAGGUUCGCCUUUGCAACAUGUGGAGUAUACAGCAGAUCGUAACCACGUUCUAUGUGGAUCUUUUUCCACAAAUCUUCCAUUACAUGCCUCACAAUAGUACCCUUUGGAUGCGAGAACACUAAACCCCCACCAGCAUCAUUCUGUGAAAAUUCAACAAUGAAAAUGUUCAAUGCAAGAAUCCUCAUAAUUACAAAUAAUGGGAUUGCUAACUGAUAAAUCUGCGUAAACAGCAGAAAGAGAUUCAGGGCAAUUCUGAGUACCUGUAUAGAAAACAGGUCAAGAACUUGACCAAGGCGCCUGUGAUCUCGACGUUUAGCUUUCUCAUUGAAAUGCCUUCAAUUGAUCUUCACUCUCCCAUGCAGUGCCAAAGAUCCUCUGCAGCAUCGGUUUCUUUUCAUCUCCUCUCCAGUAGGCACCAGCAAUAGACUCAAGUUAGACAACUUUUCUGUUAAUACUUCCAGUUUUUUCAACAUGGGGCCCCGCACAUAGGUCCCACCAUUCAUCACCUAUGAAGAAUUCGGCAUACUAUGAAUGUGUGGGAUUUGAUCGAAUAGGACAUGGAAAAAUGGGUGUACAGCAGUAGAUAUGCUGCGAAAAUUUUCGUCCUGCUUUUGGGAAUGUGAGAAGAUACAUGGGUUUCUAUAUUUUGAUAAGGUGUUGAGGUCGAGCUAUGUUCAUUUUUUUUCUGAAUUUCCUUGUAGUUUGGUAUUAAUGGCGCCUUUUUUUUUUGGAAGACGGGAUUAUAUAUCAUCCGGGCAAAGAUGUCAAAGGAAUACAAGGAGGCAAACAACCAAUACAAGGAAAGGGUAGAGCAAGGAGGUAACAAGAACUAAGACACCGCACCUAGUGCUACAGCGUCCUUCCUCGCACUACCAACACAAUUAAUGCGGACAGGGAAGUCCGUCAUUACACAAAACAUGAACAAGGGAGGAUGGGGGUCUAUCGACCCACGUAAAAUCACAUACCUCCUUACAACGCCGCGAAGCCAAAAGGUCCGCUGCCACAUUGGUCGACCUUGGAACCCAAGACCAGCGGCAAUCUUGAAAGCCACUUCCCAUAAUACUACAUCUCGCAAUAAUCGGGAAGGCUUCCCAGCUGCCCUUCCUUGUUGCGUCCUUCAAACAAGAAAUAGACUCCAGAGAAUCAGACUCCACCAUUAUCAAGUUCCACCCUCUGUUCAUACCCAGCUUACAUCUAUGCAAGAUAGCUUUCGCCUCCAUCAAUGCCACGCUUGUGGCUUUCUCUUUGAACCUGCAGGCAGCCAAGAACCUGCCCUCCUCAUCUCGAGCCACAGCUCCCGUAAAAUCCAGGCCGUCCGAUGCGCACCAGCUGGCAUCCACGUUAAUCUUCACGAAACCCCCACUUGGAGGAGACCAACCAGCGGCAAAGCUAGAUUCCAUAGGAAUGGCAACCUCGGGGUUGGGUUGGAUUGACCAGGCAUCCCUGAACGUUGUUGUCGAGUGAGAAAUAGCGGCAAGAACCUGUGAAGUUUUCCCUCACCAAAUCCCACACAGCCGGCGAUCCUACACAGCGAUUAUCAACGUGUGGAUGGCAAAAUCGAAAAGUCCAAUUUGAACGGAAAUUCCAGCCCAAAGACCCAAAACCCUUUCUGAAGCCCAGAGGCAAUUUGCAAAUAACGUUAAAUCAGGGGGCAGAGAGACUCAGUGGCAAUUUCGUAAAUAAACUGAAAUAUACCCCAAGAUUGCACAGUGCCACCUCCCCCUACUUUAGACUAAAGUAAUUAUAAUUUUCUGACAGACAAAAUUCAUAUUACAUAAUUUUUCAUUUUUUUUCAAAUAUUAUAUAGAAAUGUAUAUGGCUACAACUUUUUAUCUAAUUAUUUGUUAUUUUUGGAUUAAUUUGCAAUUUUAGGUUUAUAUGUUACUGAUUUUGUUUGUCUAUCUCUAAAAUUCAUCUUCACUCCCUAACAAAAAAAAAACACUAUCUUAAUUUAAGAAUAACAGAUGUCGAAGAAAACAUACAAAAUCACAAUAAAACAAUUAGCAUUUAAAUAGGAAAAGAAGGAAAAGAAGGAUUCCGAUAUUUAUUUCAUUCCCUAAGAAAAGCUUCAAGGUAAAAAAUCACCGAAUUUUAAAGCUGAAUCCGACACAUUUCCUAGUGUUUUUAACUGUUAGACAUAAAACCUUAGAUCUCAAAACCAACAGUUUUCAUUCGUUCAAAAAGAAUAAACAAACAACCAAUACAAAACCAUGGACUUUAUUAUCUUCAAUGUUCAAAAACUCUCAAAACUUUUUAAGUUCGAAGCCCUUUUUUUUACUGAGGGAUCAUUUUAAAUUAAAAAAUUAUGCAAAGAAUCUUUGGCUAGUCCAAUCGAAUUGUAGACUGAACGAAUAACUAGAUUAAUGGAAAAAAUUGCAAAGCCAAUAUCCAAACUCAUAAUCUAUAUUUCAUCAAACUGUGAGCAUCAUCGUUCUCAGGUUUGAGAUUGGAAGAUGGUGAUGUUCGUAAACUUGUAGAGGAGAAGAGCUAACCAACGAGUGAGACAUUAUUUACACCAUGCAUCCAUUGACACAUGGACCCGUGAGGUGUACAAUGGUGUGCAAUGCAAGGAAAGAGACAAAGUAUGCAUACUAUUGAGAAAUUUUUCAGUAUGCUGAAAAUACAGCUCAGUACACCAAGUUUCAUAAUAUAAUUAGUUGAUUUUUUUUUUAAAUUUCCAAUCAAUUGUAUUAUUACACUUGAUGUAUCGAAAUGUGUUUCCGAUACACAGAAAAAUUUCUAGCAUACUACUUCCAUAGACCCUGCAACAAAUGGCAAAGCAGCAAAUACUCACCAAGAAAGAGGUCAAACUUGGUAAUUUACCCCAUGAAAGUAUGCCAUUUUCUCAGUUGGCAAAAAUUCUAGGAUAAUACUUUGUACUCACUAGAAUACUGAAUACCCUAUAUAAUCAUUUUUCAAUUUUUUUUUAUAUAAAAAAAGAGGGACAACUGGUGGCAAGUUAUGGUUAACCACCCCUUUUGGGCGUCGGGAAAAUUCACAGAGGCAUUUCAGCCUCCCCUUGGCCAUAAGUAUGGCUUCCACACCAGCAGCGGGUUUCGAACCCGAGACUUGCAGUUUUUAGUUUCAAUUUUGAGUUAAUAAUAUUUUAAUACAUAUUUUAUUAUUUUAAAAAAUAAUAGACAUAUUAUUUAAUUUGUCUUGAGCUUUAAAAACAAAGUAUCUUUUCAUUGGCGUGAACCGAAUGUGAUGUUUAUGGGUAGUUUGGUAACCAAAGUGGUGUUCUUUGAAAAAAAAAUUAAAACUAAAUUGUUUUAGUGAGAUGUCGAUAAAAACUAGGGUGAACCGAACGUACAUGCUUUUCGUUGUGAGAAAAAAAUUGUGUGGAGUUUAGUUGUCAUUAGGGAUGGGCAAUGGUUAUGGCGGGCGGGUAACCGCGGUUAUUUACCCAUAACCGUUCAUGCUCAUACCCGCAUAACCGUUUACCCGUUGGGUAAUUGCCUAAAUGGUUAUACACAUACCCAUAACCAUUUAUAAACGGUUAACCAUACCCAUAACCGCAUACCCAUUUAACCGUAACCGUUUAAUACCCGUUUACCCAUUUACGAUUUUUAACCCGUUUAUCUUUUUUUUUUUUUUUUACCAUUACCCAUUUUUCACCCGUCUACAUGUUUUUUAAGAACUUGAAAAUUUAAAAAAAAAUUGUCAUAAUUUUUUUUUUUUUACAAUUAAACACCGUUAUAGGUACAUUCAUCAUGCAUUUUCGUAUUUUAAUUUUUUAAAUCCUUAUACCAUUCCAAUAAUGGAAAUAAUUGCCGACAAAGACACAACGAGCACUCUUACGUCGGUUAUUUAUAUGCCAACGUAACGAGAGCAAUCCAUUUUCCAAUCUCUCCCCUAGAAAAAUAAAGAUUUUUAGGGAAUAGAACGAACCAAAAACACCGACAACAGGAAAUAUAUAACUUGUACAAUAACUAUGUGUAGAAAAUAACCCAAAGAUGUUGAACAAUAUUGAAGGAAGGGUAAAGAAAAUGUAGGGGGAUCAAUAGCCUUGUAAGAAUGUUCGAUUUCCAGUUUGUUCGAUCCAAGAUCAACAUAUAGCUACAGUAAACACAGAAACAAAUCUAAUGCAUGCAUACUGCAAGGGAAAUGAUUUCAGUGCGCUCCCAUUUUUUUUCUCACUUAAAUUUCUUUUGAUUUAUUCAAUUUAAGGAUAGAAAUACUGCACGGAUUAUCGUUUAUUACUUUUUAAUUAAUUAAAACAUCGCUAUAAAUCACAUUAUAGUCAAUAGCAUUGAUCUAAGUUUUGUCCAAUAGGGAACAUGGUUUGUGCUAAUUUUACAUAUAUAAAAUAAAUGGGUAAACGGUUACCCGUUUAUAACCGCGGUUAAUACCCAUAACCGCCCAUUUAAAUUUCGCAGGUAAACGGUUAUACCCAUAACCGUUUAUUUAUCUAAACGGUUACCCCAUAACCGUAACCGUUUAAUUUAAAUGGGCGGUUAACCGCGGUUACCCAUAACCAAUGGGUAUUUGCCCAUCCCUAAUUAUCAUUAAAUUUUGCCAAGUGACACUAGAACUCAGUUAAAACUCGACAUAUAGUAAGUUUUUAAAGUAUUGUCAACUAUUCUAAAUGUAUGAACAAUGAAUGAGCGAAGAAGAAGCUCUUAGAGAAAAAUAUGAGAGAAUAUGAAGUUUUGUAUAUAUUUUCAGAUGCCAUAAAUGGCAGUUUACAUUUGGUUUUAUAUAGAUGAAUUGAUAAGCUCAAUUACAAUAAUACCCUCCAACAAUUCUAACCAAUCUUACCCUUAUAACUACCUUAAGAUCAAGAGCGACUGAAGCAGAGGCUUGUGAGAGACAAGUUGAAACAGAAAGAAAAGUCGAGACGUUGUAGUUGAAGCAGACCUUUCGAUGAUGAUGGACACGUAACCAUCCCCUCACAAAAUCCUACACAGCCGGAGAUCCUACACAGUGAUAUUCCAGCCUAACAACCCAAAACCCUUUUUGAAGCCUAGUGGCAAUUUUGCAAAUAACGUUAAAUCGGGGGGCAGAGAGACUCAGUGGCAAUUUCGUAAAUAAACUGAAAUGUACCCCAAAAUUGCACAGUGCCACCUCCCCCUACUUUAAACUAAAGUAAUUAUAAUGCUAUGACAGACAAAUUCAUAUUACAUAAUUUUUCAUUUUUUUUCAAAAAUUCAUAUUACAUUUCCUAGUGUUUUUAACUGUUAGACAUAAAACCUUAGAUCUCAAAGUCAACAGUUUUCAUUCGUUCAAAAAGAAUAAACAAACAACCAGUACAAAACCAUGGACUUUAUUAUCUUCAAUGUUCAAAAACUCUCAAAACUUUUUAAGUUCGAAGCCCUCUUUUUACUGAGGGGUCCAAUUAAAUUAAAAAAUUAUGCAAAGAAUCUUUGGCAAGUCCAACCGAAUUGUAGACUGAACGAAUAACUAGAUUAAUGGAAAAAAUCGCAAAGCCAAUAUCCAAACUCAUAAUCUAUAUUUCAUCAAACUGUGAGCAUCAUCGUUCUCGGGUUUGAGAUUGGAAGAUGGUGAUGUUCGUAAACUUGUAGAGGAGAAGAGCUAACCAACGAGUGAGACAUUAUUUACACCAUGCAUCCAUUGACACAUGGACUCGUGAGGUGUACAAUGGUGUGCAGUGCAGGGAAAGAGACAAAGUAUGCAUACUAUUGAGAAAUUUUUCAGUAUGCUGAAAAUACAGCUUAGUACACCAAGUGUCAUAAUAUAAUUAGUUGAUUUUUUUUCUUUAAAUUUCCAAUCAAUUGUAUUAUUACACUUGAUGUAUCGAAAUGUGUUUCCGAUACACAGAAAAAUUUCUAGCAUACUACUUCCAUAGACCCUGCAACAAAUGGCAAAGCAGCAAAUACUCACCAAGAAAGAGGUCAAACUUGGUAAUUUACCCCAUGAAAGUAUGCCAUUUUCUCAGUUGGCAAAAAUUCUAGGAUAAUACUUUGUACUCACUAGAAUACUAAAUACCUUAUAUAAUCAUUUUUCAAUUUUUUUAAUAAAACAAGAGGAACAACUGGUGGCAAGUCAUGGUUAUCCACCCCUUUUGGGCGCCGGGAAGACUCACAGAGGCAUUUCAGCCUCCCCCUGGCCAUAAGUUUGGCUUCCACACCAGCAGCGGGUUUUGAACCCGAGACCUGCAGUUUUUAGUUUCAAUUUUGAGUUAAUAAUAUUUUAAUACAUAUUUUAUUAUUUUAAAAAAUAAUAGACAUAUGAUUUAAUUUGUCUUGAGCUUUAAAAACAAAGUAUCUUUUCAUUGGGGUGAACGGAAUAUGUUUAUGGGUAAUUUGGUAACAAAAGUGGUGUUCUUUUAAAAAAAUUAAAACGAAAUUUUUUUAGUGAGAUGUCAAUAAAAACUAGGGUGAACCGAACGUACAUGCUCUUCGUUGUGAGAAAAAAAUUGUUUGGAGUUCAGCUACCAUUUGAUUUUGCUAAGUGACACUAGAAUUCAGUUAAACUCGACACAUAGUAAGUUUUUAAAAUAUAAUAUCUUAUGACGCAACAUGAAGCAAUGAAAGGGUUACUAGCGUAAUCCCUUGUAGAACAAAGUUACUGUAAUCCACCAGUUUGAUAGAAAUCCCAAAGGAUAAUUUGAUUAAUUGAUUGAAAGAUGAAAAGAUGAUUACAAAGCCAUGGCUUAAAUAAGCCUUUUACAACCUUUUGGAAAUAACUAACAUAUAAUAAAGUCCUUAAAACCCCAAAAGACUCUAUUCAUUAGUAGGCUGCUGUUCUGAUUACUUUAUACAAAAGAUGGCUCAAGCCACUUUUGUGGGAAAAUUAUUUUAACAAGUUUUUGCGAAAAGUGGCUCAAGCCACUUUUAUGGGAAAUUAACACCUCUUUUAUGAUUGCGCCCUUUUGUCUUCCGACGUUCCAUCUCCUCCCCGAUCCAUUCCGCCAUUUGUUCUACAUCAGUCCCUUCCACUUCAGAAGAACUCGACCCCGAGUUAUGAUCAGGAUAAAGAACUUCAUCAUCAUUGAAUGUAUACAAAUCAGCAACGUUGAAAGUAUUGAAAUUCCCAUAGACUCCGGCAAAUCAAUAACAUAGGCAUUGUCAUUAAUUCGCUUGAUAACUUUGAAUGGACCAUACUUUCAUGGCUUUAACUUGCUGUAAGUUCCAACAGGGAAUCAUUCUCUUCUCAAGAACACCAUGAUAGAAUCUCCUUCCUUAAACACUUUACACGCCGAUGUUUGUCCACUGCUUACUUAUACUUAACAUUGGUUUGUUCAAGCCGUUGCUUGACCUCAUCACGAAUUGCCACCACAUCUUCAGCCAUAUUUUAUGCAGCAAUGCUAAGUCCAUGUCCCCUAGGUAGCUUCACCAAAUCCACCACGUGAUGAGGAGUGGCAGUGUAAACAAUGGAAAAUGGUGACUUACCCGUAGCACGAUGCAUGGCACUAUUAUAAGCAAACUUCAUCUGAGGCAGGACAUAGUCCCAUUGUUUUGGCUUUUCUCCACAAAUGUUUCGAACCAUGUUACCAAGAGUCCUAUUUGUGACCUCCGUUUGUCCAUCAGUUUGGGGAUGUGCAAUAGUACUUCGCUUCAAAGUAGUCCCAAACAUUCUCCAUAAUGUAAUCCAGAAAUGACUCAAGAACUUGGUGUCUCGAUCAGAAGUGGUGGACUUAGGUACCCCAUGCAAUCGAACAACCUCCUUGAAAAACAGUUUGGCUAUGUUGGAUGCAUCAGCGGUCUUUUUGCAAGCAAUGAAAUGAGCCAUUUUGGAGAACCUGUCAACCACCACGAAAACUGAAUCCAUUCCCCCUUGCAUUCGGGGUAGUUCGAGCACAAAAUCCAUAGCAAUGUCCUUCCAAAUGUCGUUAGGAACGGGUAAAGGCAUGUAAAGGCCCGUAUUUUGGACUUGCCUUUUUGAAACCUGACAAGUGUAACACUUCCUCACAAUGGCUCCAACAUCUCGUUUCAAUUGUGGCCAAAAGUACCUCUCUUCUAAACUUGCUAUAGUUUUAUCACGACCAAGAUGACCGCUUAGUCCUCCUCCAUGCAAAUCUCGAAUAAGCUUUUCUUGCAAGGAAGAGACAGGAACACAUAAUUGGUUACCUUUGAACAGAAAACCUUCGUUGAUAAAGUAAUCUGACAUAGGUUCAUGAUUAAUGCAUUUCUUCCAUAUUUCCUGAAAAUCAUCAUCGGUUGCAUACAACUCCUUUAAGCACUUGAAACCCACAACUUCUUGGGAAAGAGUGAUUAGCAAUGAUGCUCGUCUACUCAAGGCAUCGACAACCCGAUUUUGAGCUCUAGAUUUGUGCUUGAUAACAAAUGGAAAUUUUUGCAAGAACGUUACUCAUUUGAUAUGCAUUUUAUUAACAUGCUUCUGAUUGUUAAUAAACUUCAAGGCUUGAUGAUCCGUGAAUAGCACAAAUUCUUUCUGAAUGAGAUAAUGUUCCCAUUGUUUUAAAGCUCGAAUCACCACAUAAAACUCAUAAUCAUAAAUGCUCCAUUUUUGACGGGCUUCACUUAGCUUUUCAAAGAAAAAAGUUAUAGGUAUCUUCUCUUGGGAAAGGACAGCACCCACUCCCACUCCACUUGCAUCACAUUCGACUUCGAAUACUUUCUCAAAAUUUGGAAGAGCUAACACCGAAGCUGUACAAAGCUUCUCUUUGAUCAAAACAAAGUUUUGUUCUUGUUCAUCCCCAACGGAACUUGCCUUUCUUCACCCAUCCAAGUGAGUAUGGGGAGACAUGAGGUUUCGUUGGUAGCUGUAAAUGCUCCACCACUUUCUUGGCCACAAAAUUUUCACAACUUCCAUUGUCUACUAUCACUUUGCAAACUUUGCUGUUAAUGGAGCAAAGAGAACGAAAAAUGCAGUGUCGUUGCCCAUCCUCUUUUGGUGCUAAAAGAACUCGCUGCAACACCAAAGCGAGGUGAUCCAUUCCUUCUUCAGUUGUGAAUUCAACGUCUUCAUAGUCAUCAUCACCAACUUCUUCUUCCCUAUAAUCUUCUUCUUGGUUCCCUUCAGCAUCCAACAAGUUGGCUUGUCUCCAUUCAGGACAAACGUUAGAUCGAUGCCCAAUUUUGUUGCAACGAUAACAAAUGUCUCUUAUAGGCUUGGCAUACGGAUUCUCCCUUGGAGGUUGGUUUCUAUUCUGCCCCUUGUUAAAAGUUCUGCUACUCCCUUCAUUUGAUGCUCGAGAAGGAAAACUUGAAGGUUUCAAUCCUCCCGAACUUUGUGGCACAGAUUUUCCUUUGUCGGUGGACGAGACAACAGGGUUUUCAAAAUGCUCCGUCACGUUCCCCCGGAAAGAGGUUUGUCGCCUUUCUUUCUCUAUUAUCUCCGCCUUCAAGGCCAUGUUAAUGGCCUCUUGCAAACUCCACAGAUUUUGCAGCCCAAUCUUUUCUUGAAUGGAGGGUUUCAAUCCAUUCACGAACCUCGCAACCCUUUGAUUUUCUGUCUCCAUCAGAUUGUUUCGCUCCGUAAGUCUCAUGAAAUCAUCCGUAUAAUCAGUCACGUUUCUAUUGCCUUGGACGCAGCUGAUGUAUAUACGGUAUAAAAGAUGUUCAUAAUCCGCAGGUAAGAAACGAUCCAUCAAAAGUUGCUUCAUUUUUCUCCAAGUGCGGAUUCGAUUCUUUCCUUGCCUCUGCCGGGUAUUUUGUAAUUGAUCCCACCAAACAGCGACAGUUGCUUUGAGACGGAAGGCCACCAUCUUCACCAUUUUUGUCUCGGGAAGCUCCAUGACAUCAAAGAAUCUUUCUACUUCAACUAGCCAAUCCAGGAAAUCUUCGAUUUUAAGGUUUCCCGCAAAAAUUGGAAUGUCGGCCUUAAUCUGAAAGUCAUCAAAGUUAUUGUGGUUUUGAUGAUUUGGAUGGUUAGCCGGGUGUGGUUCCACAUCUUCAUCUUCGAACUCCGAUUCGCUGUCUUGAACACGGACCCUAGGAACUCUCAGAUUAUUGACUCCAGCAGUUAUAUGAUUAUUUGGACUAAUGGCUUGGACCAACAUCUCACGAAGUUCUCCAAUUUGAGUAGUCAAGUUUGUAAUCUGUUCAGCUUGAGCAUCCAAGUCUGCUCGAGUGAUAGGGGCAGGUUCACGAUCACGAUCACCCAUGGAUAGAUAGGGUAAACAACGAUGCCAAGACGGGAGAAACCCGCUUUGGUACCAAUUGAAGUAGCACGAAGCAAUGAAAGGGUUACCAGCGUAAUCCCUUGUAGAACAAAGUUACUGUAAUCCACCAGUUUGAUAGAAAUCCCAAAGGAUAAUUUGAUUAAUUGAUUGAAAGAUGAAAAGAUGAUUACAAAGCCAUGGCUUAAAUAAGCCUUUUACAACCUUUUGGAAAAACUCAAAAGACUUAGGAAUUUAAAAUGGAAAUAACUAACAUAUAAUAAAGCCCUUGAAACCCCAAAAGACUCUAUUCAUUAGUAGGCUGCUGUUCUGAUUACUUUCUGCAAAAGAUGGCUCAAGCCACUUUUGUGGGAAAAUUAUUUUAACAAGUUUCUGCAAAAAGCCACUUUUAUGGGAAAUUAACACCUCUUUUAUGAUUGCGCCCUUUUGUCUUCCGACGUUCCAUCUCCUCCUCGAUUAAUUCCGCCAUUUGUUCUACACCAUCUUAUCAUUCUUCUAUUUUAAAUUUUUUAUAAUUAUCUUUUUUACUAAUAAUAUACACCAUGAGAUUAAUCUAACCGUUCAUAUUUUUUUUCUCUCAUUUCUUCUAUUUUUCCUUCUCUCUGCCGUUGCAGUCUUCUUCCUAGUUUCUUUCCUUGCUUCAUUAAGGACACGAGGAAAAGAAAAGCCAAUUUCUCCAACUAUAAUGGAAUGAAAAGAAAGAAAAAAAAUCAAUUUCAGAAACAUAGUUAAAAUCAUCUUGAUCCCCAACUGCAUCUUAAUUGAGAAAAUCCACCCACGAUCUAAAUUUGAGGCUACUGCUCGUCAAGGUAGAAGAAAAGAAAAGGAAAACAAACUUACAUACAAUUUAAUAUAUUUUUGUGAUAUUCAAUUUUGUCCUUAGUCAAAGUAGAUACUGUAAUUCAUUUUUAUUGAUGAAAUAUUAGCAUUGUGGAUGCUUUUUGUUUACAUUCAUAUUCUUAUGAAGAAGGGAAAGAAACAUACAUGCACAACCAUUCAUAUUUGCUGAACACGAGAAAAACUUUGUAGUAGGAUUUAAGUGCUAUAUUUUAUAUUUUGAUUUCAUUUUUUUCUAAUUUUCCUGUGUAAUAUACUACAUGAUUUUCAAGACUAUGCAAAGCUCUAAUUAAAUUUAUAUCUGAUAUGAUUUUCAUGGUGUAUAUGAAUUAGUAGUAGAUGAUCCUAAUUAAUUUAUAGUUAAUUAGUAGAAAAGAUAAUUAUGAAAAAUUAAAAUAGAAGAAUGAUAAAAUAGUAUUAUAUUUAUAAUAGAAUAAUGAUAAAAAAUGGAUGUAGCGCCACUCAGCAAAGUCCAGUAAUAAGCUGAGCUCCACACAAGUUUUUUUGACUUGUUUUACUGACAUUACUAAUAUAUAGAAAAAGUUGUCAAGAAAGAGAAGCAAUGUUAAAAUGAAAUUUUUAUGAAAAAAGGAUUGGACUAAGUUUAUUUUAACCAAAAACAAUAACUUUAUUUAAUGAAAAAACUUAAUUUUAAUGAAAAAAAAUUUAAAUUUUAAUCAAAAUGACAAAAGAACUCAAAUUUUAAUGAAAAAGACAUAAUUUUAAUAUUAAAAAAACUUACGUACCUCCGCGUGUCCUCAGAAAUAAUGUUUAUGAAACUUACUACAUUGUUUAUGAAACUAAACGGUACUACACUGUUUAUGAAACUUAUUAUACUGUUUAUGAAACUUAACGGUAUUACACUAUUUAUGAAAUGUAACAGUACUGCUGUGUAUAUAUGUAUGUUAAUUCUUUUGUCUUAAGUAGGCACAAGUGAAAUCUACAUACAUUACUUUUACUUAUAUUAUUUAUUAUAUACAUGAAUAUACACCUUAUGAGAUUAUAGUACCAAACGUGUUUGUGUUAUCUUGCUCUGUCAAAGGCCUAAAAAUUGUACCAAACGUGUUUGUGUUAUCUUGCUCUGUCAAAGGCCUAAAAAUUGGUGUCAUUGUUGUUACAGUUAGCUAAUUCAUACAUAAUAUAAUAUAUAUGUGUAUUUUCAUGUACUUUUUCUUAUUUAGUUAUAUUUCAAGGGGUGAAGAGAGGGGAUUGGGGGGACGCGAUAGGCACACAUAUUUAUAUUUUAUGUUUUUUUCAUCAUUAAAUAAAAUUAUUAGUUGAUUUUUAAUUAAAAUGCAAAAUUUUGAAACUAUUUUCAUUAAAUUUCAUAUGUUAUAGAAUGCGCAGAGUUUACAAUCUAAUUCCUCGAAACAUAACAACUAACCUAUAAUUUGUAAAACCAGGCACUGAGCAAACCCCGUUUAUUUUUAUUCAAAUUUUCAGUAACUACAAACAAGAAACAAAAUAAAAAAGAAUGAAAACUAUCGCACAAAUGAGUAGUGACCUUAAUCUGCUGCACAUGGUACAAACAACGGAGAUCAUACAUCAUGAAGAUUCAACUUCCUCAACGUUUGCCGUUCGCCUUUGUCUUAAAGGAGGGCUUGAGUAUUCCAUGCCGGUAUCUGAUGACGAGAUAUUGGAUGGCACUGAGGACUCCGGGAAUGAGCUUGUUACUGGAUUUGGCUGAGGUGUUUCAUUUCUAUAACUCUGAGAAGAAAGAGAACUAGCCGCCUUUGUGCUUCCGGUGUUUGAUUCCCCUGAGCUUCUUCUGCGAGUUUUCUUAGAAGAUUCAUGACGGUUGGAAGAAACCUUGAUGAGAUAGACAGUAUUCCGGACAGCUGGUAAAAACAAAUAACGGAAACUAGAAUUAGAAACUGCUUCAAUCAAGAAAAUUAGAAUUUGAUGAGAAACUGUAACCAAAAAGGCCAGCCCCGAGUGAGGUCUCUAUCAAAUUAGGACCACCAGCUGUUGUAUUCCACGUUCAAUCCCAAUUUUACACUCUACUAAGUGAGACAUAAAAAACUCAGUUUUAUACUUACAGCGCCAUGCUGGAACUGUCCUGUAAUGUCCAUCUGUACCCAUAAGGCCUUUGAAAGUAAAAAUCCAACAAAUAGAACCAUGAGGUAGAGAGGGUUCCUGUUUCAUUUGAAGAAAAAAGGCACAGUGAUUAACAGAUGUGCAAGACAUUAGCGUCUGGACACUUAAAAAUGUCCAAAACCUAAAACUCGCAAAAGGAAACAAAAAAGAACGAAAGUAAUUACUUUAAAAGCAUCAUAAAUUCGUUAAAACCAAGAAUGAUCAUCGCCAUUAUAGCCCAUGGAGGAGGUAACCAGUUGUUACUCCGCUUGUGAGCCUCCUGAAAGUACAAAAGCAAACAACAUCAUGAUCGAGCAGAGCUAUAAGCAUAAAGAUAGGGAGCUCGUUACAAAAAUAGUAAUAGGAUGCUAGGAUUUUUCUUUGUAGAAAAAACAAGAAUACACUGAACUUGAUUAUAAGUCGGUCCUAUCUGACUAAACCAUUCCCAAGUCAAGAAUCAGCGCGAUUUUCAAUAUGAAAUGUUUCCAUAUGUUUGGUUUCACUACUAAACUAAAUCCAAUUUACACAAGAACUCCCACCCAAAAUGUCAUCCGAGGACAAUGCAUGCGUCCUAUUUCCACGUUCCUCCCACCAGUUGUUCAUUACUUUUGCAGGAACAUGUUCCAAUAUUCAUAUUUUCAUAACCAAAUCUUUAAAGAACAUUUUAUAAAAGACAAAAUUCAUUUAUUCGAGAUGCAACUCUGAUUAAACGAUAUAAAAACAAUUACACUACUAAAGUUAAACUUAAGUAUACCUGUGCCGAAAUAGCUUGAGUGACGAUAUAUUCGGUCUCUGCUUUGAACUGCUUUGACAAUGACUUGCACUGUACUGGGGUAAUUAAGGUAUCCUUUGAAGAAACAUAGUUUAGAGUUAACCUUAAUAAGAAGGGAGUCUCAUCAUAGAAAAAUUUUACAUAAAAACCAAACCCAUAAAUAAAUGGUACCUCUUGCCAAGAGCUUGAGGCAAGAGGAUCUGUAGGAGGUCCUAGUUUCCUAUUUUGUGAAGAUGAAACAGUAACAGUCCUGUCCACCAGAGAAGAAACUAGGACAUUUUCAAUAUUAUCUGGCUUCUCAUCCAAGCGAAUGGCAGCCAUGGUCAACAAAAGCUUCAGAGACUGCAAGAAAGAGAUGAUCAAACAACUAAAACAUCACUUUAAGUCAGAAAGAUAGAUAACAUGUACUUCCACAAAAGUUCCCAAUGAUUACCGCAGUUCGUGCAUCCUUGGUAAUACUUCUAAUGUCUUCGUUCCCAGUUCAAACCCUAGGCAUUGAAUCGCUGUCAUAAUUGAAGACUACGGCAAACCUGAGAAAUGACAACAGAAGUGAUCAGCAACCAAAAUAACAAGGUGAAAAGGAAAAGAAGAUUUUUAAAAAGUUCCUACCGAUCCUUCAUGUGGAUCAUAAUUUUCCCAGCCUCUUCUCUUGCUUUUUUCUCCACCAAUUUCUUGCAUAAUCCUUCAAAUGCUGCUUCAUUUUGACAACCGUUUCAUUGUCCAACUCAAAAUUGGCAACUGCAGUUGAGAACUCCGAUACUGCAACUUUGGUCUCACGAUUAAGUAGUUUUCGUAUCGAAGCCCAGGUGUCUUUCGCACCAGUUUCCAGUAGAGCCUCUACAGGACCGCUUAAAGACGAAGAAAGUUUUUUUCUGAAAAAUAAUGGGUAUUUGCAUUAAGAAAUUUGAAUAACCAAGACUUUGAUACAUUAUCAGAGCACUACCUCAUAUGUGGAGAUAAAUGACCACAUACCUCAUCGUGGACCAACUGUUUGAAUUUCUGGUUGGCAAUCUCUUCACACCGAACCGUAGCAACCAUAACCUAAUUAAAUUACAGUAUGUGUAUUAUAUAUUAUAUGCAUACGAGAAGUGAAGUCCUUGUUCUCUUUGAUUACUUUCCAAAUCUGUUGUGCACUAAAGGAAAAUCCUGACGCAGGGACAACACCCCUUCUAUCGCCAGCAAGCCCUCGUGGAGAAAUAGAAUGGAAAAAGCCAUCUCUCUUUCUUUCUCUUUUGUGAUGCGUCCAUCUCAGCCUCCCCAAGCAACUCGACGGCGUUGCUGCAGGCCAUGGCGAACAGUUCCACUCGAAAAUCCGUCCAAUUUGAGCGAGAGUCAAAGAACUCGGGGAAGAAUCGGACCUCGUAGUUUUGGAUGUGGCUCGCCAGAUGAGCCAUGGUUUCCAGCGAAAACGGGCACCAAAAAUUUUGGUCUCGGAUCUUCGACCUGGAUCCCCAUCAACAAAAUCGAACAACACAGAUUCAAGGUAAUGUAUAUGUGUGUCUGAGGGUUUGAAAUUGGGGGAAGGGCGGCUGAGCCAUGUGAAAUUCGGUGAGAUGACAUAGAGUCGGGAGCGAUGAUGAGUUUUCGGUUGUUUUGGGGAGAUGUUGCUUUAUUUAGUUAUAGGGAAUUUUAUUGUUGGUGCGUGGUGAAGGAAGGAGGGAGGAACAAACAUGGAAUACUUAUGGAAGUUGUAGAAGUACUUACUACUCUCAACCUUAUUGUUACGAAAGCAUACAUAUCUUCGGAUAGUGGCUGGUUCAUGGAUGGUAAAAAUCCUUUUAUUACGGACUUUUUUAUCGCUGUAAAAAUUGUCCUUUUUUGUUCGAGCUAGAAACUGAUUAUGUGAUUUGGUUUUCAAAUCGGUUUUAACUGCCGCUGAUCAAGAUGGAAACAAGGUUACAGAUGAGGUUUUGAAUUAUAUUCUAAACCUAAUCCAAUACUAACUGUGUUUGCCAUUUUUUUUUCUUGCUUUUGCAGCGAAUGAUGUAAAAAUACUUUAUUCAAAAGGUUACAUUUGUUUGGUCUACUGUGGUUACAUUUUUCAUUUGAUUAAGCUUUGUCAUUGUGUAUAUAUUGGUUGUUCUGUUUCUUAAUAUUGGUGUAGGAAUUUGAUACUUAAAUGCUUCUUCAGGUAUGAAUGGCUCCCAAAACAAAUAAAACACUGUAACUUCAUUAACUGCCGGAAUCAAUCUCAACAUAAAGGAAAGUUUCUGUAAGCAUGCUCUAUUCCUAGGGAGAUUUCAGUUUAAUAGAAUUUUUUGUUUAUGUGGGUUUUGAAUUUUAUCAUAAGAUUUUUUCUUAAUUGGUAUUCAAAAGCGAAUAAAAUAUGUGUUCCUUGGGUCUGACUUUUUAGUUGUUUUGUUAUGAAAUUGUUAAUUGAUUGCAUAUUGUUAAUUUGAUACAUUUUUUUUUUAUGUUAGCUCCAAUUUCAUGCUCUAAGAAAGUUAUGGAUUCAUUUUUUGUAGCAAAUAUUAAAGUAUCAAUAUCCAAAAGAGUUAAAUUAGUUUCAAUUCUUAAAUUAUCAGUACACAGAAGAAAGAUCUAUUAGUUUAAUUUAAAUACGUUUGGAAAGUUAGAAAUAGCUCUAUUAGUUUCAAUUUGUACACUUUUUGAAAUUUAGAGAUCUACUGAGCAUGUUGAAAAUUUGAAGUUGUACUUUUGCGUACUCCAAACUGUGACCUAUAGUUCCCUUAAUAUUUUCAUCCAUUUGAAUUGAUACAAAAUAACAUACUGAAUCCAUGAUCAAUCCCAUUACUAUGUUUAUGUCAAUAUUCUUUCACUUUCUUACACUGAAUUUAACUUUGCUAACACUGGUAAGCUUCCCUUUCAAAAAAAAUUUCUCUUCAGUAAAUACGAUUUAUCAAUGCUUAAUUUGGGUUUGGAGUUGUUUUCUUCUCAUGGUAAAAAUUGGUGUGUCCCAUCCAGAACAAUUAGUGGCCAUUUUUGAGGUUUAUUCCAGUAAAGGGUUUAAGGUUUUUUAUAAUGUCAUAUCGUGUUAGGAUUUUUGAAAGUUGGUUUAUUUUGAAAUUAAAGAUUUUAUGCAUCAUUCAGUUGGUGAAGGACACUUUGAAAUCAAUUUUUUCCGCAGCUGAGACAAUUGAUUAGUUGAUAAGAAAGCGACAUUUUCAUUCUAUUUGUAAGAUUUAGCCAAAAGUAUUUUUUAACAACUAUGAUAUAGUUUGAUUUCAAUUCAGAAGUACUUAUUUUGUUAAAUUUAACCUCGAAUAUGUUAGUAAAUCUUUAUACUUUAUGUGCAAAUACAUAUAUAAUCCUGUAUGUAUAAUUUUUAUAAUGUUGCUAAACAUUUUUACUUUCAUCUUUUUGUCCGUAGAGGGUGAAAACCGCGCCGUUCACAGAUGCAAAACAGGGAACAUCUCCUACUUCAUAUGAGAAGUAGAGAUUAGUUCGAUUGUGAUUGUUUUUCUGAUUUGGUUAAAUUCGAAAUUAGUUGGCUUGCGUCUAAUUUAGUUGUUUGCAUUGGUCACACAUGUAGUCGUUUUCUAACUUAGUUCAUCAAAAUAUGUCAUACAAUUUCCACUCCCGCAAUAACGCGUGAAUCACAUUUCCCGCAGCAAUGCGUGGGCUACACUUUCUAGUUAUUACUUUAGUCUAAAGAAAGCAUUGCAAUUGGCACAAUGAACAGUGUUUGUACUCGGAUUUCAGUUUAAUUACAACCAUGCCAUUGCUUUAAUGAGUGGGCUUUGUGGAAGGUUCGGGUUCGGGUUUAUUUUUUUGGGUUUGGGCAAAUGGGCUGCUAAAUCUCUACAAAGAAAACAUAUAAUGUAAAACAAAUAUUUAAAAAAAAAAUACAAACCCUAAACUUAAUCAUUCAAAAUAAUAGAAAAAGUAAAGUAGAAAACCCAACCCCCGAAUCCCAUUCCCUGCUAGCAACCUUUCCCUUCCCAUUUUGCCCGACACCCCGCCCAGCUUAGUUCUCUCUCUCUCUCUUUUUCCCUAUUCAUGACGGCACCUGAGAUUUGAUGAUGACAUAUUUUACUUAUUUUAAAUUCUAUUUUAAAAUAAGCUGGGGUGUCAGGUAAAUUCUAUUUUAAAAUAGACUAGAUCUGGCCUUUUACUAACUUCUUUUAAUUUUUGAUUUUUUUAAUUCUAUUUUACUUAUGUUUUUCAUAGUUAUCUUACCCUUUGAAAUGACAUAUUUACCCUUAAUUUUGAAGGCAAUUUGGAUGGAACUCGAAAAGCUUAACAGUAGGGGCCAAAUUGACCACUUAAACAUAGUUCGGGGGUCAAUUGGCUGAAAAAAUAGUUCAAGAGGAAAUUGACACUGACGUCAUAGGUGUUAAAUGACAGUUUACCUUGCGGUAGGUAAGGAGUGAGGUGGAUGCGGUGACUCGUCCACAGAGCAUCUGCAGCUUGCAGGCAGAGAGAAGAGGAGAGAUGAAAGAGUCGUGGGUGAGAGAAGAGGGGAGUGGGAAGAGUCGUGCGUUGCAAACGGGAUGGAAGGAAAGAUGGGAGGGGUAGGAUGAGCGAAUCAAGCUGGAAGCCAUUUCCGCAACAAUUAAUGGGGAAGGCAUGGUUGUGUGCAGUUCGUGGGGUUGGCCGGUCAGGAAGGGGUUACUAAGGGAGGUACGGGAGAGUUUGAUUUCUCUGUUUCCUUCCUUUAUUUCUCUGUUUCGUCUACUAUAUCCCCCAGCCAUAAAGCACAAAAGCAGUUCUACUCAACACACACACACCCAGACACCUCCACAACUGGCCACCCCACCUCCAUUUCAGCUCAGCUUGUAAUUACAAGUGACCAUGCACUCAAAUUGGAGUUUGUUCCAGAGUGGAUUGCCAUUGUCGGCAGUGGUUACAUAGGUCUUGAGUUCAGUGACGUAUAUACAGCACUUGGGAGUGAGGUAUUUCCUUUCUUUCUAUUUUCAUUUAUCUUCUGAGUUUUUACAAUAGUUCUAUGUGAAAUUUGCUAAUUUUAUGGGUCAAUCAAUAACUUCUCUCACGUUUUAUUUAUUUUAAUUUUUCAAUACUGUUUUUUUACUAUCUAGGAGUUCUUAUCUCACAAGGCAUCCUAGAUUAAUCCUAAGUAUUUUGUAGGUUACUUUCAUUGAAGCUUUAGAUCAGCUUGUGCCUGGUUUUGAUCCUGAGAUUGGAAAGUUAGCCCAUAGGGUUCUAAUUAAUCCACGGAAGAUUGAUUGUCAAACUGGGGUAUUCGCAUCCAAGGUAAGCUGAUGAUUGACGUUUUUAUUAAGUGUUUUCAGGAUUUCUGUUUCAGUUUUUUCACCUUCUUUGGUCUCUUAUAGAUCACACUAGCCAAGGAUGGGAAACAAGUCACCAUUGAACUAAUUGAUGCAAAGACCAAGGAACCAAAAGAAACUCUUGAGGUAAAUAACUGGAUCUGUCGCUAAUUUAUAGAUUAUAACCUGCUGUGAUUCUGUUCUUGAAGUCAGGCAUAUGUUUAGACUUCCAAAUUGAUGACUUAGUAGCCUGAGUGCUUGCCUUAAAAUUACUAUAGGCAUAAGUGUUACAGUUCAUAAGUAUGAAAGGUUUUUCAAGGCAUUUGUGAUAGACCAUUGUACUCUUUAUCUUCUCCUAGGUAGAUGCAUCACUAAUUGCAACUGGAAGAGCGCCAUUCACACAAGGUCUUGGAUUGGAGAAUGUAUGACAUCUCGAUUAGCAUUUAUUUAAUUUUGGAGUCUAUAUAAAGUUAUUCAGCAAAUUCAUGUGAUUAAAGUCUGAAAAAAUACAGUGAAAAAAAUGCAACUUUUUAUAUGGCAAAUGUGCUUAAAGAUUUGACAUGUUAUUGAAUAUUAGCCAUGUAGUUUGAAUUAGAUAUGUGAUUGAAUAUUAGGUAUUUAGUUUGAAUUGAUUUGGACGUGUGGUUUAUUUCAUUGGAAUUUGGAUAUGUGCUAAUUUGAAGAACAUGACAAAAUCUGAAGAACCUUAUUCAGUAUUUGGCCAUUAGAUAAAACAUCAACAUAAUUUCCCUUGCUUUCACUGAUUCUCUGUGAUUACAGUCUGGAAAAAUACAGUGAAAAAGAUGCGAACUUUUUAUGGAGUUGACAAUUUUCGGCUUAGUUUUGGAUCAAAAAGAAUUAGAGUGUUACUUAUUAAGUUGAGUUAACAAAUUUGCAGCAUGCAACAGAGCACAUAGGAGAAGUUUUCAAACGAGUUAAGAAGAUCCAGUUGAAAAGAGCAUACAAGAUAGAGAACUGGUAUGCUGCUUUGUCUUUCUGUUGGAUUUUGAUGUUUAUGUUCUGCUGCUAAGUAGACUUUAUAGUGCCAUGUUAUUGAAUAUUAGCCAUGUAGUUUGGAUAUGUGAUUAAAUAUUAAGUAUUUAGUUUGAAUUGAUUUGGAUAUGUGGUUUAUUGAAUUGGAAUUUGAAUAUGUGCUAAUUUGAAUUGGAUAUGUUGAGUUAGAGAUGUGCUACUUUGAAUUGGAUAGGUUGAAUUGGAGUAUGCUAUAUUGAUAAAUGAUGCACUGAUGGUUACAGAACACACACGCACACACUCACCAGUCAUCACAUACUUUGGGGCUGCAUAACCAUAGGUUCCCAUGACUCGCAUCGAAACAUGAGUUUUAUCACCCUCAGGACCAUCUUUUACAAGUUCGAAAUCCGAAGGCUUGGCAUUGUAAUCCUAAAAUAACACAUUCCAUUUUCAGAAGAGAAUAGGAGUAGGGAAAGAAAUGUAGUUGAUGCUCAGUUAUUGUCACUCACUGCAUCUAAUAGGAUAUUAGAUGUUUUGAAGUCACGGUAUAUGACUGGGUUUUGAACUUCUUCAUGAAGAAAGACAAGACCCUUUGCAGCACCGAGUGCAAUUCUCAUUCUAAUAGACCAGUUCAGUUCCGAUCUAAAGGCGAGGUGUUGUUUCCAUCACUGGUCAGCGGACACACGUUCUGUGGAUCAGUUUGCAUGCACGUCGUUUGUUCUUGAUUCCAUCUUUCAAUUACAUCAUUAUGAUGUCUAUAGUUGAAUAAGUUUUGUAUAGUUAUUGACCGAAAAAAAAAGAUAAUUUUUCUGGUAUAUUUAGAACAAAGCCAAACUUUUAGUAAGCAGAGAAGCCACAUGUGUUGAAGUUGAGUGGUUUCAGCUUCUCCCUUUGGGGCUUUUGCACAAUCAAAUUUUAUAUUUUUGUGUCUAUUGUCAUUUUUUGCAGCUCUAAUACUGUGUAUUGGUAUGGUUAAUUCUUUGAGGUGCAGGUUACCCUAUAGACGUUACAAUUUAGGUCUUUAGUUGUUUGAUAGAAAAUCGCUUUGAUUCAUCGUUUCUUAUCGGAUAGUUUGAUCGUUAGGCUCUUAUUUCAGAUCGUAACUCAUUUUGGUUGCAAGUUUGUUCUGUAAUUUUUUUUUCCUCUGCUAUUAAUAGCUUACCACAUGUGGUAGCAGAGUGAUUGUGUUGGUAGCUUAUGUAUACAAGUGAAUUCAGAUGACACAAUGAGUUUGAUAUUCAAAAAAAAAAAUGUCUGUUAGUUCAGCUUUUGAAUCUUUAAAAACUAUCGAAUCAAUUUGAAUGUGUAAUUUUAUGUUUAUUGUUAGGUAAAUUGCUGUUUUUUUCGCUGAUAAAAUGUAUAGAGUUUGGCUGUGUAAAUGUGUAUAGUUUUAUACGUUUCGCUCGGUAGACAAUUUGAUAAUGGCUGAAGUGCAUUCUUUAAUGAAAUGUGUUUUCUUUCCUCGAUCGUGAAUGCCUUUUUGGUAUUUUGCAGAUCGAAACAAAGUGAAAGCUUUUGACCAUGAAUUUUGCAACCACUGCCUUGCUGCUUUGGUAAAGUCUCAACUUCUUUAUAAUAUCAAUUAAUUUUGGCUGUAAUGUUAGGCCUCGUUUGUUUGACCUCCUUAGCUAGGACUGGACUAGCUAGGACUAAUAACCCAUGUUUGGUGCAAGCCGGGAUUGAGUUUAGUGGGAUUAAGUCGGACUCGUGCCGACUAAAUCCUUCCUUAGCUGGGCUUAGCGAGAGCCCCCGAAAAGGAGGGGAUUGCUAGUCCUGUUUCCCUGUCUUCCCUCUCACGCCGCGUCCUCGUGCUCAUCGUGCACGACUGCACCAUCUCAGACGACGACUCGUCUUCCUCCACCCACCCCUUGCUGUCUGCAACUCCAAUCCCUGCCCAUGCCCAUACCUAGCCCCACCCACCCGUGUCGUCUGCAACUUCAAUCCUCACCCAUGGAAGAAUAAUUGAAGUUGGACGGGAAAAGAGGUAAAGGGAAGAGAGAGAGGGAUUUGAACGGAAAAACAAAGGGAAGAGAGAGGAAGCUGAACAUGAAAGCUCACCAUGGCUGCCAUUAAAUUGGCGAUGCUAAGCUUGAGAGGGAGGGGUUGGGGUUUUUUGGGGGAAGCCGGUGGUACUGCAAAAAAGAGGGAGAAAAGGCAGAAAAAAGGGGCGGAGACAAAAAUGAAUCAUGGAAGAAGAUGAUUCUGCAAAUGAUAAAAUAAUAAUAAAAAAAUUAGUAGAUUAGAUUAAAUUAAUAAUAAAAUAUUGUAUAUAUAGAUUUAAUAAUAUAAUAUUAGAGUCAUGUUUCUUAAUCCGGCACUGCAUCAAACGCUUCACUAAAUCAGUCCAGCUUAGUCUAGUUUAAGCCAGUCCAGCUUAGUCCCUAAAGCUAGUCCAGUCCGAGAUAGUCCGGUGCAACAAACGCACCCUUAGGGUAUUGAGUUGAAUGCAUAUGCUACAUGGCAUAGGUCUAACAUGAUUAGAACUUUAAUAUCAUGAUGUAUGAUAGUGGUUUAUUGAAUUGGAAUUUGGAUAUGUGCUAAUUUGAAUUGGAUAUGUUGAGUUAGAGAUGUGCUACUUUGAAUUGGAUAGGUUGAAUUGGAGUGUGCUAUAUUGAUAUAUGAUGAACUGAUGGUUACAGAACACACACGCACGCACUCACCAGUCAUCACAUACUUUUGGGCUGCAUAACCAUAGGUUCCCAUGAUUGCCGUCGAAACAUGAGUUUUAUCACCCUCAGGACCAUCUUUCGCAAGUUAAAAAUCCGAAAGCUUGGCAUUGUAAUCCUAAAAUAACACAUUCCAUUUUCAGAAGAGAAUAGGAGUAGGGAAAGAAAUGUAGUUGAUGCUCAGUUAUUGUCAUUCACUGCAUCUAAUAGGAUAUUAGAUGUUUUGAAGUCACGGUAUAUGACUGGGUUUUGAACUUCUUCAUGAAGAAAGGCAAGACCCUUUGCAGCACCGAGUGCAAUUCUCAUUCUAAUAGAUCACGGAAGAGGCAGGGACCCUAUUACCAAAGAUCAAUAGGCAACCAUAAAAUAAAAGGGUAGCCCUUUGGAUUUUGACUUUUAACGUGAUUCAAUAUUGGUUAGCAAGAUAUCAUGGAACCAAGAUAUAGUUAGCUGGCUAAUUGAAAUCCUAAUUAAGUAAGACAUUUGUACUUGCCUUGGUUAGACAACAUUAAGAUUACAUGGUGAUUUGGUGUAUUCCUCCAAGUACUAUAAUGGGUGGGAUUGGAGGAACCCAAUUCACUAUAUUAAGGGUGUCCCUACUUUCACAAAAUGCACGUUCCAUUCUGGUUCGCCGAUAUUUUCUUAUUGAUUUUAUGUUUCCCAGCUUAAAGUUUAGUAAGAAACACUUGACUUAACAAAUGGUAAGUCCACUUGGUGGACGGCUUAUAAGUAUACCUUAAUGCGCAGGCAAAAAUACUCUCAUUUUUGAUAAAAAUUGUGAACAAUAUAAAUCACGACUUUUAAUUGGGUUUACGAAAUUAAAGUCAUACAAAGGAUCUACACGUACAAACUUUAUAUAUAUCUCAAAAGAAAAUAAAAGGUAUUCAUUCCACAGACAGUCUACAUAAAACAUUCCCCCAGGGCAUUAAAGCAAUUAGGAGCUAGGACAGUAAUCUUGCAGAAUGCAAGUCCACUGCUAGCUAGACAUAUUUCAUGCAUUAAUAGCCCUGUAGUUCUUUCUGAUUAACUCUGUUGUAAUCUAUGUGUGUUGCUGAUGAAAGAAGAUCAAGGUUUAGCCAUCAUCCUUAAUGGUCCUUGAAACUCAGAUCCGUGUCGAUGGGUACUUUCACUUGCUAUGCAUACGGUGAUAAUUGUGGCUGAUGCUGUUAUGAUUCAUCAUCAACAACAACAACAACAACAACAACAACAAAGCCUUUUCCCACUAAGUGGGGUCGGCUAUAUGAAUCCUAGAACGCCAUUGCGCUCGGUUUUGUGUCAUGUCCUCCGUUAGAUCCAAGUACUCAAGUCUUUUCUUAGGGUCUCUUCCAAAGUUUUCCUAGGUCUUCCUCUACCCCUUCGGCCCUGAACCUCUGUCCCGUAGUCACAUUUUUGAACCGGAGCGUCAAUAGGCCUUCUUUGCACAUGUCCAAACCACCGGAACCGAUUUUCUCUCAUAUUUCCUUCAAUUUUGGCUACUCCUACUUUACCUCGGAUAUCCUCAUUCCCAAUCUUAUCCUUUCUCGUGUGCCCAUACAUCCCACAAAGCAUCCUCAUCUCCGCUACACCCAUUUUGUGUACGUGUUGAUGCUUCACCGCCCAACAUUCUGUGCCAUACAACAUCGCUGGCCUUAUUGCCGUCUUAUAAAAUUUUCCCUUGAGCUUCAGUGGCCUACGACGGUCACACAACACGCCGGAUGCACUCUUACACUUCAUCCAUCCAGCUUGUAUUCUAUGGUUGAGAUCUCCAUCUAAUUAUCCGUUCUCUUGCAAGAUAGAUCCUAGGUAGCAAAAACGGUCACUUUUUGUGAUCUUCGCUAGAUUGCUCCGGUCAUUAGUGUGGAUAAGUAUAUAAAUGGAUAGGGAUAGGAAAGCAAACACAAGAUGUACGUGGUUCACCCAGAUUGGCUACGUCCACGGAAUAGAGGAGUUCUCAUUAAUUGUGAAGGGUUUACACAAGUACAUAGGUUCAAGCUCUCCUUUAGUGAGUACAAGUGAAUGAUUUAGUACAAAUGACAUUAGGAAAUAUUGUGGGAGAAUGAUCUCGUAACCACGAAACUUCUAAGUACCGGAGUGUGGUAUCGUCUUGACUUUCCUUAUCUGUCUCAUAGGUAGAUGUGGCAUCUUCUCUGGAAGUACUCUUCCUCCAUCUAGGGGUGGUAUCUGUAACUGGUGGAGAUGCACAAGGUAAUGUAUCAAUGUCACUUGAAGCUUACUUGUAGUUUCAAGCUUGGUCAAGCGCGAUACAAACCAUGUAGUAGGAGCCCCCAAGUCGCCGAGCUAGGGGAUCUGCUGAAAGAGGUGACAGACAAGGUAAGCAAUCAGAGCUCCGGCUGAUUGUUCACAUUCUCCCUAUCUUGCAGGCAGCAUGAAGGAUAAAGAGAAGAAAAAUGAGAAGAGAUGAUAUGGGAUACUUUUGCUUUUGAAGAAGUAACUUUCCACAAGCUUAUUCUUGAACUGGGCUGGAAGGUUUUCUGGUUUCCUCCAGAGUAUAAGGCCGACUGAAGAAUUUGAGGGUCAAAACAAGUCCAUCAAAUCUAGAGUACGUUCGACCCUGCUGAUAUGGGAUACUUUUGCUUUUGACAGAGUAGUGGAUGUAUCGGCACGUGUGCUGUUACGCUUGUCUCCACAUGUUUCAUUUUAUCCUUCUCACUUGCCCUAUCUGUUCCUCAGGCAGAUGCGGUAUCUUCCCUGGGAGCAUAAGAUGUUGAAGAUGAGUACUCGAGAGCAAUGCCAGGUAAGUAAUCAGGUAAGGGGUUCCAGGCAGUCAGUUCCUGGCUGGAAGCUUGAUUCCAAGUGCUGACUGAUUGCUCUCUUUCUUUUUGUCUUGCAGGUAAGAACAAGGCCAAAGGAAAAGACAGGGAAAAAGCAUGAUAUGGGAUACUCUUGCUUUUAACCCUGAUGAUAUGAGAUAUUCUUGCUCUAGUAUAGCUUGUUUACAGAGGUAUUAUCGGGGGGAAAGAAAGCUGAAUAUUUCGAAAGGCUUCGUUGGGAGUGCCCUCUCAAAUAAGAGGAAGGGUUGAGUAUUUUUGCAGGUCUGCCUGUCCGUUGGGGAUGGAGGUCGACAUAUAUAGGAGUCUCCCUAACAUCAAGUAAUAAUGCUAUUCCUUUACCCUGCUUGGUCAUAGCACGGUAGUGGGAGCUGCCAGCUUCACAAGUUUUAACUCUGUUAGAGCACUUUGAAAAAGUGGUCUGUGGUAUCUGGAAAGCUGAUGUUGCGUGUGAAGAUUACAGACAAGCUUUAUCCAAGGAGAUCCAGCUCUUGAAGUUGGGAAAGUGGUGCCUCUUCGGUUUUCGAACAAGCAAUCCUGUCGGGGAUCUGGCUCUCGAGAUUCGGAGAACGAUGCCUCUUCGAUUUUGAGAAAGCAAUCCUGCCGGGGGUCUGGCUCUCGAGAUUCGGAGAGCGGUGUCUUCGAUUUUUGAGAAAGUAAUCAUGUUGGGAGUCUGGCUCUCGAGAUUCGGAGGGCGGUGCCUCUUCGAUUUUGGAGCAAGCAAUCUUGUUGGGAGUGUUUUCUCGAAUGUGAGUAAAGGUUGGGCAUGUUUGCUAGUCUAUCUUGCCACGAAGCACAGAGGUUGACACACAGGGACUUUCCAAUUAUCCAACAGUGGUACUGUUCCUUUACCCUCUCUUCGAUUUUUGAGAAAGUAAUCAUGUUAGGAGUCUGGCUCUCGAGAUUCGGAGGGCGGUGCCUCUUCGAUUUUGGAGCAAGCAAUCUUGUUGGGGAUGUUUUCUCGAAUGUGAGUAAAGGUUGGGCAUGUUUGCUAGUCUAUCUUGCCACGAAGCACAGAGGUUGACACACAGGGACUUUCCAAUUAUCCAGCAGUGGUACUGUUCAUUUACCCUCUCUUCGAUUUUUGAGAAAGUAAUCAUGUUGGGAGUCUGGCUCUCGAGAUUCGGAGGGCGGUGACUCUUCGAUUUUGGAGCAAGCAAUCUUGUUGAGAGUGUUUUCUCGAAUGUGAGUAAAGGUUGGGCAUGUUUGCUAGUCUAUCUUGCCACGAAGCACAGAGGUUGACACACAGGGACUUUCCAAUUAUCCAACAGUGGUACUGUUCCUUUACCCUCUCUUCGAUUUUUGAGAAAGUAAUCAUGUUAGGAGUCUGGCUCUCGAGAUUCGGAGGGCGGUGCCUCUUCGAUUUUGGAGCAAGCAAUCUUGUUGGGGAUGUUUUCUCGAAUGUGAGUAAAGGUUGGGCAUGUUUGCUAGUCUAUCUUGCCACGAAGCACAGAGGUUGACACACAGGGACUUUCCAAUUAUCCAGCAGUGGUACUGUUCAUUUACCCUCUCUUCGAUUUUUGAGAAAGUAAUCAUGUUGGGAGUCUGGCUCUCGAGAUUCGGAGGGCGGUGCCUCUUCGAUUUUGGAGCAAGCAAUCUUGUUGGGAGUGUUUUCUCGAAUGUGAGUAAAGGUUGGGCAUGUUUGCUAGUCUACCUUGCCACAAAACACAGAGGUUGACACACUGGGACUUUCCAAUUAUCCAGCAGUGGUACUGUUCCUUUACCCUUGUGGGUAAUAAUAUGGUAGCUAGACCUUCAAAAUUUAUGUGUCUAAACUUUGUUAAUGUUGUUUCUUUGCUAUUCUUUUACCCUUCUUGGUCAGAGCGAUGUAGUGAGAGCUACAAGCUUCACGUGUCUCAACUUUGUCAGAGAACUUUGGCAAAGUUAUAUGUGGUACCCAUGAGCUACUGUUGCGUGUGGGAAGUGGGUGAUUGAACAGUACGAUUCAUGUGCUUUCUACUUCGCCAGAAAUCUUCGACAGAAUGCCCAUAAUUUCCGCAAAGCUGAGUGUGCGUGUGACAGGUGCUGACAAGGCUGGAAAAGUAGGUGCCUCUUCGAUUUCUGAGAUCGGCCCUCGUGGUCUCUGAGCAGCCCAUCUUUUGAGAAAGCAAACCUCUUCGAUUUCUGAGAUCGGCCUUCGUGGUCUUUGAGCAGCCCAGCUUUUGAGAAAACAAACGCCUCUUCGAUUUCUGAGAUCGACCCUCGUGGUCUCUGAGCAACCCAGCUUUUGAGAAAGCAAACGCCUCUUCGAUUUCUGAGCAGGCGCCUCUUCGAUUUCUGAAGCUUCGUCGAGUGCAGAUUUUUAUAGGGGCUGACAUUAAGUUCCAAAGCACACUUGAAUAUCCACCAGUAGAAGCUCUAUUCUUGCACUUCGAAGAUCUUGAUUUGUCCGACCUCUUCUCUCUUCAACACCCUUUGAAAAUGUCUGGCCCCUCCGACCGUCGUUUUGACUUGAACCUUGUUGAAGAGGCAGCCCCGCCUUCUCCAGACAACAUAUGGCGCCCAUCCUUCGUCUCCCCUACUGGUCCUCUUACCGUUGGGGAUUCCGUGAUGAAGAAUGAUAUGACCGCUGCGGUAGUGGCCAGGAACCUUCUCACUCCCAAAGAUAACAGACUACUUUCCAAACGGUCUGAUGAGUUGGCUGUUAAGGAUUCUCUGGCUCUUCAGUGUUCAGUGUGCAGGUUCUGUGUCUAAUAUGGCCCAACGCCUAUUUGCUCGAACCCGCCAAGUUGAAUCAUUGGCGGCUGAAGUGAUGAGUCUCAAACAGAAGAUUAGAGGGCUCAAGCAUGAGAAUAAACAGUUGCACCGGCUCGCACAUGACUAUGCUACAAACAUGAAGAGGAAGCUUGACCAGAUGAAGGAAUCUGAUGGUCAGGUUUUACUUGAUCAUCAGAGAUUUGUGGGUUUGUUCCAAAGGCAUUUAUUGCCUUCGUCUUCUGGGGCUGUACCGCGUAAUGAAGCUCCAAAUGAUCAACCUCUGAUGCCUCCUCCUCCUUUUAGGGUUCUGUCCAGUACUGAGGCUCCGAAUGAUCCCCCUCCGGUGCCUUCUCUUUCUGGGGCUCUACCGACUACUGAGACUUCUCCUAAGCAACCUUUGUGAAGGCUCCCUCUUGUUUUUUAUUUUGACUCAAGUAUAUGUACAUAUUUGUAACUUAUCGGGGAUAUCAAUAAAUAAGCUUUCUUUCAUUUCAACGUAUUGUGUUAAAUACCCCAAAGUCUUCUUCGCUAAGUUCUUUGAAUUUUCUUUUGUUGAAGCUUGUAUGUUGAAGCUUUGUGAGUGGAGCAUGUAGGUUGAGGUAGUGUUCCCUUAAUUUCCCGAGUGUGGAAAACUUCUCGGUUGGAGACUUGGAAAAUCCAAGUCACUGAGUGGGAUCGGCUAUAUGAAUCUUAGAACGCCAUUGUGUUCUGUCCUGUGUCAUGUCCUCCGUCAGAUCCAAGUACUCUAAGUCUUUUCUUAGGGUCUCUUCCAAAGUUUUCCUAGGUCUUCCUCUACCCCUUCGGCCCUGAACCUCUGUCCCAUAGUCGCAUCUUAUAAUCGAAGCGUCAGUAGGCCUUCUUUGCACAUGUCCAAACCACCGUAACCGAUUUUCUCUCAUCUUUCCUUCAAUUUCGGCUACUCCUACUUUACCCCGGAUAUCCUCAUUCCUAAUCUUAUCCUUUCUUGUGUGCCCACACAUCCAACGAAGCAUCCUCAUCUCCGCUACACCCAUUUUGUGUACGUGUUGAUGCUUCACCGCCCAACAUUCUGUGCCAUACAGCAUCGCCGGCCUUAUUGCCGUCCUAUAAAAUUUUCCCUUGAGCUUCAGUGGCAUACGGCGGUCACACAACACGCCGGAUGCACUCUUCCACUUCAUCCAUCCAGCUUGUAUUCUAUGGUUAAGAUCUCCAUCUAAUUCUCCGUUCUUUUGCAAGAUAGAUCCUAGGUAACGAAAACGGUCGCUCUUUGGUAUUUCUUGAUCUCCGAUCCUCACCCCUAACUCGUUUUGGCCUCCAUUUGCACUGAACUUGCACUCCAUAUAUCUGUCUUUGAUCGGCUUAGGCGAAGACCUUUAGAUUCCAACACUUCUCUCCAAAGGUUAAGCUUUGCAUUUACCCCUUCCUGAGUUUCAUCUAUCAACACUAUAUCGUCUGCGAAAAGCAUACACCAAGGGAUAUCAUCUUGAAUAUGUCCUGUUAACUCAUCCAUUACCAAC